AUUGAACGCUGGCGGCAUGCCUUACACAUGCAAGUCGAACGGCAGCACGGGAGCAAUCCUGGUGGCGAGUGGCGAACGGGUGAGUAAUGUAUCGGAACGUGCCUUGUCGUGGGGGAUAACGUAGCGAAAGCUACGCUAAUACCGCAUACCAUCUAAGGAUGAAAGCGGGGGAGUCGCAAGACCUCGCGCGACAAGAGUGGCCGAUAUCAGAUUAGGUUGUUGGUGGGGGUAAAGGGCCUACCAAGCCGACGAUCUGUAGCUGGUCUGAGAGGACGACCAGCCACACUGGGACUGAGACACGGCCCAGACUCCUACGGGAGGCAGCAGUGGGGGAAUUUUGGACAAUGGGCGAAAGCCUGAUCCAGCAAUGCCGCGUGCAGGAUGAAGGCCUUCGGGUUGGUAAACUGCUUUGUACAGAACGAAACAGUCUCUCCUAAUAAC
rnacentral:rRNA from 1 species